rnacentral:rRNA from 1 species
AGAGUUUGAUCCUGGUUCAGGAUGAACGCUAGCGGCAGGCUUAACACAUGCAAGUCGAGGGGCAGCAUGUCCAGCAAUGGAUGAUGGCGACCGGCGGAAGGGUGCGUAACGCGUGAGCAACAUGCCCUAUACAGGGAGAUACACCAGGGAAACUUGGUCUAAUAUCCCAUAGCAUUCAUUGAAGGCAUCUUUAAUGAAUUAAAGCUUCGGUGGUAUAGGAUUGGCUCGCGUGACAUUAGCCAGAUGGUGAGGUAACGGCUCACCAUAGCAAUGAUGUCUAGGGGUUUUGAGAGGAAGGCCCCCCACACUGGGACUGAGACACGGCCCAGACUCCUACGGGAGGCAGCAGUGAGGAAUAUUGGACAAUGGAUGGAAAUCUGAUCCAGCCAUGCCGCGUGCAGGAAGACGGCCUUAUGGGUUGUAAACUGCUUUUAUACGGGAGCAAUAAGGGUUACGAGUAAUCCGAUGAGAGUACUGUAUGAAUAAGGAUCGGCUAACUCCGUGCCAGCAGCCGCGGUAAUACGGAGGAUCCGAGCGUUAUCCGGAAUUAUUGGGUUUAAAGGGUGCGUAGGCGGCCAUUUAAGUCAGCGGUGAAAUUUUGCAGCUUAACUGUAACAGUGCCGUUGAUACUGUUUGGCUAGGAUUUGGUUGUAGUGUGCGGAAUGUGUGGUGUAGCGGUGAAAUGCUUAGAUAUCACACAGAACACCGAUUGCGAAGGCAGCACACUAAGUCAUUAUUGACGCUGAGGCACGAAAGUGUGGGGAUCAAACAGGAUUAGAUACCCUGGUAGUCCACACUGUAAACGAUGAUAACUCGCUGUCGGCGAUACACAGUCGGUGCCAAGCGAAAGC